rnacentral:rRNA from 1 species
UACGUAGGGUGCGAGCGUUGUCCGGAAUUAUUGGGCGUAAAGAGCUCGUAGGCGGUCUGUCGCGUCGGCUGUGAAAUCCCGAGGCUCAACCUCGGGUCUGCAGUCGAUACGGGCAAACUAGAGUAUUGCAGGGGAGACUGGAAUUCCUGGUGUAGCGGUGAAAUGCGCAGAUAUCAGGAGGAACACCGGUGGCGAAGGCGGGUCUCUGGGCAAUAACUGACGCUGAGGAGCGAAAGCUAGGGGAGCAAACGGG